rnacentral:rRNA from 1 species
UACGAAGGAUCCAAGCGUUAUCCGGAUUUAUUGGGUUUAAAGGGUGCGUAGGCGGCUUAUUAAGUCAGGGGUGAAAGACGGUGGCUCAACCAUCGCAGUGCCCUUGAUACUGAUGAGCUUGAAUACACUAGAGGUAGGCGGAAUGUGACAAGUAGCGGUGAAAUGCAUAGAUAUGUCACAGAACACCGAUUGCGAAGGCAGCUUACUAUGGUGUGAUUGACGCUGAGGCACGAAAGCGUGGGGAUCAAACAGG